ACGUGCCAGCAGCCGCGGUAAUACGUAGGUGGCAAGCGUUAUCCGGAUUUAUUGGGCGUAAAGAGAACGCAGGCGGUCUUUUAAGUCUGAUGUGAAAGCCUUCGGCUCAACCGUGGAGGGUCAUUGGAAACUGGGGAACUUGAGUGCAGAAGAGGAGAGUGGAAUUCCAUGUGUAGCGGUGAAAUGCGCAGAGAUAUGGAGGAACACCAGUGGCGAAGGCGGCUCUCUGGUCUGUAACUGACGCUGAUGUGCGAAAGCGUGGGGAUCAAACAG
rnacentral:rRNA from 1 species